UCAGGAUGAACGCUAGCGACAGGCCUAACACAUGCAAGUCAGGGGCAGCACAAGGAGCAAUCUGAGGUGGCGACCGGCGCACGGGUGAGUAACACGUAUGCAACCUGCCUGUAAGCGGGGAAUAACCCGUUGAAAGACGGACUAAUACCGCAUAAUACUAAAUUACUACAUGGUAAUUUAUUUAAACAUUUAUGGCUUACAGAUGGGCAUGCGCAUGAUUAGCUAGUUGGAGAGGUAACGGCUCCCCAAGGCAACGAUCAUUAGGGGUUCUGAGAGGAAGGUCCCCCACACUGGUACUGAGACACGGACCAGACUCCUACGGGAGGCAGCAGUGAGGAAUAUUGGUCAAUGGACGAGAGUCUGAACCAGCCAAGUCGCGUGCAGGAAGAAUGUUCCCUAUGGAUUGUAAACUGCUUUUGCAGGGGAAUAAAGUGCAUCACGUGUGAUGUUUUGUAUGUACUCUGCGAAUAAGGAUCGGCUAACUCCGUGCCAGCCGCCGC
rnacentral:rRNA from 1 species